UACGUAGGGUGCGAGCGUUGUCCGGAAUUAUUGGGCGUAAAGGGCUCGUAGGCGGUUUGUCGCGUCGGGAGUGAAAUCCACUGGCUUAACUGGUGGCUUGCUUUCGAUACGGGCAGACUGGAGGUAUGCAGGGGAGAACGGAAUUCCUGGUGUAGCGGUGAAAUGCGCAGAUAUCAGGAGGAACACCGGUGGCGAAGGCGGGUCUCUGGACAGUUCCUGACGCUGAGGCACGAAGGUCAGGGGAGCAAACGGG
rnacentral:rRNA from 1 species